rnacentral:misc_RNA from 1 species
UACGAAGGCCCCAAGCGUUAUCCGGAUUUAUUGGGCGUAAAGCGUCCGCAGGCGGAAAGUUGCGUCUGCUGUGAAAUCGUAGGGCUUAACCCUGCGGCUGGCAGUGGAUACGGACUUUCUUGAGGAAUGGAGAGGUAAGCGGAACUCCUGGUGGAGCGGUGAAAUGCGUUGAUAUCAGGGGGAACACCAAUUGCGAAGGCAGCUUACUGGCCAUUUCCUGACGCUCAGGGACGACAGCGUGGGGAGCGAAUGGG